rnacentral:rRNA from 1 species
UACGAAGGGGGCUAGCGUUGCUCGGAAUUACUGGGCGCAAAGCGCGUGUAGGCGGUUGUUCAAGUCAGGUGUGAAAGCCUUGAGCUCAACUCAAGAAAUGCACUUGAUACUGGAUGACUAGAGGACCGGAGAGGAUAGUGGAAUUCCCAGUGUAGUGGUGAAAUACGUAGAGAUUGGGAAGAACACCAGUGGCGAAGGCGGCUAUCUGGACGGUUUCUGACGCUAAGACGCGAAAGCGUGGGGAGCAAACAGG